rnacentral:tRNA from 1 species
CAGCAUGUAGUUUAAUAGAAUAUAAACUUUGGGUGUUUAAGGAGUGUUAUUAAUACUUUGCUGA